rnacentral:rRNA from 1 species
CCUACGGGAGGCUGCAGUGAGGAAUAUUGGUCAAUGGACGAGAGUCUGAACCAGCCAAGUAGCGUGAAGGAGGACUGCCCUAUGGGUUGUAAACUUCUUUUAUCUGGGAAUAAAAUGUUCCACGUGUGGGAUUUUGUAUGUACCAUAUGAAUAAGGAUCGGCUAACUCCGUGCCAGCAGCCGCGGUAAUACGGAGGAUCCGAGCGUUAUCCGGAUUUAUUGGGUUUAAAGGGAGCGUAGGGGGAUUGUUAAGUCAGUUGUGAAAGUUUGCGGCUCAACCGUAAGAUUGCAGUUGAAACUGGCAGUCUCGAGUACAGGAGAGGUGGGCGGAAUUCGUGGUGUAGCGGUGAAAUGCAUAGAUAUCACGCAGAACUCCGAUUGCGAAGGCAGCACACCGGACUGAAACUGACACUGAGGCUCGAAAGUGUGGGUAUCGAACAGGAUUAGAUACCCGUGUAGUC